CAGACUUCCUAGGUAACUCUGAAACAGGUGGUCUGUAGACCACACUUUAAGAAUUAUCUUCAAGGAUUGGGCUAGUUUUAGUUUGUAGUGAUUUCUUGUGUCUCUUAAUGAAGGCCUAGACAAUAUAGUCUGGAUUGAUUGGAUAAACACAGAGGAACAAGAGCGCGGCAGAAUUGUACCAUGCAUGCAGCAGGCCAUGCUCUACACGGGCCUCUCAGGAUGCAGCAGAGAGGUACCCUGGAUAUACAGGCUUUUUGGAAUACUGAUGUGAGUGUUGAGGCCAGAAAAAUGAAGCUAGGUGGUAUUGGAGGAGAAUCUCUGAAGACUGCUCUCAGUAGGCUGACAACAAGUUAAGAUGAAUGUGUAACUGUUUUCUACAUUCUUCUUACUGCUAUAAAAAUAAUUGAAAUGCAGAAUGCUUAACUUCAUUCAGCUGUAAGCCUUGUAAGAACA
rnacentral:lncRNA from 1 species